CUCCUAGACAAACAUGUAUAGAAAUCCCAGCACUGGAGAGUUGAUGAGAAAGUGGGCAGAUCGGCUCUAUUCACAGCUGGGGGAAACUGACCACUUUAACAAAAGGAAGAAUGCUCAGGUAACAUCUAGCCCAAAGGUCGCUCAGGAAUGUUCAAAGCACUCAGGAGAGAGUGAAGUAUCCCAUCUUUGGGACACACAAGUCCCACUCAGCAUCCAUUGAAAGCGCAGCACCAAAAGCAUUGAGAUGGUGGCAGGACCUCAUUUUCCCUCUUCUCUAUUCCCUUACUCUUUCUCCAGCACAGAAGAAGCCUUGAUCUGCUUAGAAGCACUCCCCAGCAUCUGAACCAUCUCUUCCAAGCUAUUCCCCCAGAAGACAGGAAGACUGGGCGGUUUCCUCUGUAACAGCUCCCAGAACUGCAGCUUCCAGUGGUUUCUCCCCACCAUUGCCCCUCUUGGUUUGCUGGAAGAGCCUCCAAGACAAUGUUGAAAAGUUGGCCCUGCAGCCAGCUUCAGCAGGGCAGUCCUGCAUAGCUGCCACUUCUACCGAGGACCACCCUCUCCAGGUUCCACGCAAGCUCAUGGUGGCUGCUCCAGCCCAGCAGACCCACUUCCUGGGAGUCAUCACCCACUUGCAUCUUACUGUGGCUCUUCUUCUGUGUCCCCCAGUCAUCUGCCUACACAGAGAGAGCACAGCCACUGAAGCCUGAGACUCACGAAAGACGCCUGUGCUUUGAGGGGCUGCAGGGGGCUGCUUCCCAGGCAAACUUCAUUGCAGAAUUCUGAUGUCCCUGUCUGCUUCCCACUCAGGGAGUUAAUGGGACUCCACAACAGGACUCCCAGAAGUUCUCCCUGCCUGCAUGUGAUGGUAAAUUUCAUGUGUCACCUUGACUGGGCUGAGGGAUGCCCAGGUAGCUGGUAAAAUGUUAUUUCUGGGUAUGUCUGUGAGGGUGUUUCUGAAUGAGAUUAGCAUUUGAAUCAGUAGGUUGAGUAAAGAAGAUCCAAUCCCUUGAGAGCCCUGUAGAACAAAAAGGCAAGGGAAGAGCAGAUUACUCUUUCUCUUCUUGAACUGAAAGUUCCAUCUUCUCCUCCCUGCCACGUUGGUACUCCUGGUUUCCGGACCUUCAGAUUCCAGGACUUACAAAGUCUGCCACCCAAUCCAGUUCUCAGGCCUCCAGACUGGACUGGGAAGCACGCCAGCAGCCAACCUGGUUCUCGAAUCUUUGGACUCAGACUGAAUUACAGCACCAGCUUCCCCAGCUUUUCAGCAUGCGGAUGACAGAUCGCAG
rnacentral:lncRNA from 10 species